rnacentral:lncRNA from 1 species
GCUCCUUGAUCAUUCUUUUAGCAAUAAUUUAUCUGCUUUGAUAACUCAUUCCUGCUUUAUCACUUAAUAGAUUUCAAUAUCUGUCAUAUCUCUUGAUUCAACUCAGAGGACCUACCAUCCUCUCUUUCCUGAUCAUUAUAGAUCAAGAUGCCUGCAAGAAAAAGACCUAAUUCAAAGAACAACAAUCCUCCUCCGCCACCAUCUCCUCCCCAAUUUGAUCAUGUAAUGUUCUAGACAGCCGUUACUGCCGCAGUAGCAGCCGCCAUGUCGCAAAUGAACCCCGGUGGUUCAGGAGGGGGGCCCCAGNUGGUUCAGGAGGUGGUCCCCAGCCCCAAAACCAGGAAGGUAGCCAG